rnacentral:lncRNA from 1 species
UUCGGUGACCUAUCGGCUUCUAGGGUUUCUGGUGGUUUAACCUAGAGUUUUACUGCUAUCCGAGGCUCGAUUUUCACUCAGUGAAUGUUUUGGGUGCCUUUCCGACAUCCCUGACCACACUUCUAGUAAGGAUUUUGACGAUUACACCUAGGGUUUUGUACCUAGGGUUUUCUCUGUUGUUUGAAGGCCGAUCUUCUCCGGUCG